rnacentral:rRNA from 1 species
GACGUAGGGCGCGAGCGUUGUCCGGAUUUAUUGGGCGUAAAGAGCUCGUAGGCGGCUUGUCGCGUCGGCUGUGAAAACUCGGGGCUCAACCCCGAGCCUGCAGUCGAUACGGGCAGACUAGAGUGCUGUAGGGGAGACUGGAAUUCCUGGUGUAGCGGUGAAAUGCGCAGAUAUCAGGAGGAACACCGGUGGCGAAGGCGGGUCUCUGGGCAGUAACUGACGCUGAGGAGCGAAAGCGUGGGGAGCGAACAGG